UGUAACACAUGUUCAUGUUUUUGUUUUUGUUAAUUCUGCUUGUCUCAGAGACGUACUUUAGAUCGACUGAAUGGAUCACUUCGAGAAGGAUUUAGUUGAUGCGCUUAAAGAUAUUGUCAAAGCUGGAAACUGGCAGUGUGUGGGAGACAAAUCUAAAUUUAAGUCACCAUGCACGAAGCUUUACUCAGACGACGGAGAGCAUAUAGUCCUGGUGCAUACAGAGGAUGAUACAUUCUGGGCUAUGGAUUCAUCUUGCCCACAUGAAGGGGGCCCACUUGAGCAAGGUGAUAUUGAAGAUCUGGGCAAUGGGAAACUGGCAUUGAUUUGCCCAUGGCAUUAUUUUGAUUUCAGCCUUGAAACAGGUUCCUCCUCCACUGGACUACAGAACCAAGUGUAUGAUGUGCGAGUCUUAGAUGAUAAAGUGUUCAUAAACACUCAGUGCAUGCUGUCCCUCUGUCCUAUACCCGUGACAAGUAUUAUAACCCACCAAGACAGUUUGCCCGUGGAAAUAAAUGAAAACAUGCUUUGCACGUGGGCCACCAAAAUCCUUCAGACCCCAGACCCACAGGAAAAGGUUUCCUUGACCAAGAUGGUGCAAGAGAAAUGGAACAGCUGGGAAAUAACAGAAAUUGGGGAGUCCAGUCCUCCAUCACAGCCCAGCAGAAGAGACAAUCUGACAGUUCUGGAGCCUGGUAAAAUCAAACGGGGCAAAGGUGGCACACUGGCAAGUAGGAUCGCCUUACUACACUCACUCGCUAAUAUAGAACAGUGGGCAAUAGACCUCUCCUGGGAUAUUAUAGCAAGAUUCUCCACGUUUACAUUGAGCACUGGAGAACCACUGCCCCGGCAGUUUUUCGAUGACUUUGUCAAAGUAGCCGGAGAUGAAGCCAAGCAUUAUCAGUUACUAGAGCAAAGGAUUAUGGAACUCGGCAGUUUUUUUGGUGCUUUACCAGUACAUAACGGUUUAUGGCAGUCAGCAACAGAUACGUCUCACGAUUUGUUAGCAAGGUUAGCUAUAGUGCACAUGGUCCAUGAAGCCAGAGGUUUGGAUGUUUAUCCUCAGACGUUGUCUCGCUUUGCCGCUCAUGGAGACUCGAGCUCAGUGAAGGUGUUGGAGGUUAUUUAUACUGAUGAGAUCACACAUGUGGCUGCGGGGCUGAGAUGGUUCACAUACAUCUGCUCUAAAGAAGGCUGCGUAAGAGAGCAAAAACAACUGAGAUUCCUUGAAAACCUUCCAUGACUUGGUGAAGUUACAUUUCAAAGGGUUUUUGAAGCCGCCAUUUAACAUAGAGGGAAGGAAGACCGCAGGCAUGACAGAAGAGUGGUAUGUUCCUCUUGUCAAGCCCUCCAACUUACAGAAGACCUCAUGAUUGGACGUUUUUAUUCAGAAUAAUGAAACUUCUACUCUUCUAUAAAGAUCUCUGAAUGAAAUGGG